rnacentral:rRNA from 1 species
GUAGGGGUGCAAGCGUUAUCCGGAAUUAUUGGGCGUAAAGCGUUCGUAGGGUGGCUUGGAAAGUUUGUAGUUAAAUCUGGGUCGCUCAACGAUCAAUUCGCUACAAAAACUCCCAAACUAGAGAAUGGCAGAGGCAACUGGAAUUCCACAUGUAGGGGUAAAAUCCGUUGAUAUGUGGAGGAACACCAAAAGCGAAGGCAGGUUGCUGGGCCAUUUCUGACACUGAGGAACGAAAGCGUGGGGAGCAAACAGGAUUAGAUACCCUGGUAGUCCACGCCGUAAACGAUGGAUACUCGAUGUAGUGAGGAAUCGACCCCUUGCUGUGUCCAAGCUAACGCGUUAAGUAUCCCGCCUGGGGAGUACGGUCGCAAAGAUUA